rnacentral:rRNA from 1 species
AUUGAACGCUGGCGGCAUGCCUUACACAUGCAAGUCGAACGGCAGCACGGGAGCAAUCCUGGUGGCGAGUGGCGAACGGGUGAGUAAUAUAUCGGAACGUGCCCAGUAGUGGGGGAUAACUGCUCGAAAGAGCAGCUAAUACCGCAUACGACCUGAGGGUGAAAGGGGGGGAUCGCAAGACCUCUCGCUAUUGGAGCGGCCGAUUUCAGAUUAGCUAGUUGGUGGGGUAAUGGCUCACCAAGGCGAGGAUCCCUAGCUGGUUUGAGAGGAUGAUCAGCCACACUGGAACUGAGACACGGUCCAGACCCCUACGGGAGGCAGCAGUGGGGAAUUUUGGACAAUGGGCGCAAGCCUGAUCCAGCCAUGCCGCGUGUCUGAAGAAGGCCUUCGGGUUGUAAAGGACUUUUGUCCGGGAGCAAAUGCCUGGUGUUAAUAGCAUCGGGAGCUGAGAGUACCGGAAGAAUAAGCACCGGCUAACUACGUGCCAGCAGCCGCCGUAACAC